UACGUAGGGUGCAAGCGUUAAUCGGAAUUACUGGGCGUAAAGCGUGCGCAGGCGGUUAUGCAAGACAGAGGUGAAAUCCCCGGGCUCAACCUGGGAACUGCCUUUGUGACUGCAUAGCUAGAGUACGGUAGAGGGGGGAUGGAAUUCCGCGUGUAGCAGUGAAAUGCGUAGAUAUGCGGAGGAACACCGAUGGCGAAGGCAAUCCCCUGGACCUGUACUGACGCUCAUGCACGAAAGCGUGGGG
rnacentral:rRNA from 1 species